rnacentral:tRNA from 2 species
GGGUCGUUAGCUCAGUUGGUAGAGCAGUUGACUUUUAAUCAAUUGGUCGCAGGUUCGAAUCCUGCACGACCAC